CAAGUAGAAAUAAGCUCAGCUGAGCUCAGUCACGCAGGACGCUAUUCAUGCACAGCGAAGAAUACUGCAGGCUCUACACAUCGUCAUGUGCAGCUCACUGUACAGGAGCUUCCUGUGAUCCAUUCGCACCCAUCCUCCCUGGAAGUGAUCCUCAAUAAUACCAUCGUGCUUCCCUGCAGGGCCACAGGCUCACCAAGGCCGACAAUCACCUGGCAGAAGGAGGGCAUCAAUAUACACACCACAGGUGGAAGUUUCACGGUGCUACCUCAUGGGAGUCUACAGAUCACCAAAGCGUCUGUGUCCAACUCUGGAACUUAUAUAUGCGUGGCUCAAAACCCAGCGGGUACAGCCCUGGGCAAGACCAAACUUAGAG